UAAAAAAAAGACCGCAAAUAUGCACACCCCUAAACUGCCAAUCAUGUAACGCCUCAUUCCCACACUCCCUCCUUCCUGUUAAUCCCCCUCUCUCUCUGGCUUUCUCUCUUCGCUUUCAAAAACUUCCACCAAGUUUUUCUGCGACCAAGAUUCUCUCAUUCUCCACUCCCCCAAACCCUAACGUCCCACCACCAUGUCGCCGCCCGGCGGCGGCACAUGCAGUUGCUCUUCCAUUGAGAAUAAAGAUGAUCUCGGCGAUGGUUUUGACAAAUUGAACGAUCGGAGGUGUCCGCAUUGUAGACGAUCUCAUCUUCCUUCGUCGUCGUCUUCCUCGUCUUUGCUCAGCUUCGAUUCCGUUCCCCUGGAGGACUACGAUAAGCUAUGGAGGAUCUUCACUGCCUCGGUUAAAGGUUUCACCAUUGGAGCUGGUAUCAAAGGCGGCCUCUCUCUCUUUGCCGUCCUCACUCGCUUCAGACGCAGACGAUUAUCCACCUCCUCAAAGAACGCGGUAAUGGCUUCGAGCAGUGAGGAUGUGAUUUUAGCAAUUAAAGAAACUAUCAGAUACGGUCUGUUUUUAGGUACCUUUGCUGGUACAUUUGUUUCAGUGGAUGAAAUUAUAGCUACUCUGGGAGGACAUCGCAGGACUGCGAGAUGGAGGGCUUUGUUUGCUGGUGCUGUUGCAGGGAAUUCUCUUCUUCUAACCGGAUUGGAUACGCAACAUACGAGUUUGGCAAUUUACAUACUUAUGCGCGCUGCUGUAUUGGCAUCGCGCUGUGGAAUAAAAAGCAAGCGACUUGGGCGCAUUUGCAAACCUCUUACUUGGGCUCAUGGAGAUAUUUUCCUCAUGUGUCUCUCCUCUUCACAAAUUUUGUCUGCUUAUUUAUUGAAGCAGGAGAGCUUGCCUUCAUCAUACAAGUCUUUUCUCAAUAAACAUGGGGGAAAGGAUCCCAUUGUCUUGCAAGGAGUGAGAGAGAUGGCAUGUGGCAUGCCUUUUUCUAAUUUGGGGGUCAUAGAGAAGUACUACAAGACCAUAGGUGUCAACAUUAAACUGGAUCCACAAAUGAAAAUCCCCUGCUCGCUUAUACAUGGAAAUCAAUCAUGUGGUGCACAUUUUGUAUCAUUUCUUAUCCAAGCCUACAAAAGAGCAUUACCAGUUUAUUUUCCAGUUUAUUUGAUCCCUGCACUAAUAGUUCACCGGAAAGGCCUCUUGAAAAGGCCUUGCUCGAUUUUGAGGAAAGGUCUAUUUGGUACGGCAAGAUCAAGCUUGUUUCUGUCCGUCUAUUGCUCGUCUGCCUGGAUGUGGACAUGCUUCCUCUUCAGGCUGCUUAAGAGAUGUAAUGUUCCUAUGGUGGCAAUUGGGACGUUCCCAACAGGGCUGGCCUUGGCCAUUGAGAAGAAAAGCAGGCGUAUUGAGAUUUCACUCUACUGCCUCGCACGUGCUAUUGAGAGCUUCGUCACAUGCAUGUCUGAUAUAGGAUAUUUACCAGAGUCAAGGAGACUGAAGAGAGCAGAUGUAGUGGUUUUCAGCAUUUCAACUGCAAUUAUCAUGCACUGCUAUGCAAUUGAGAGGGAUGUGUUUCGAUCCAAGUACUUGAAUGUUCUUGACUGGGUUUUUGGUGUGCCUUUAUCCCCUUCUGAGACCCCACGCAAGAGAAGUUGAAUAUGCAUAGAAUUGGGAUCGAGAAGGCAUGAUGUGUACCAUAAAUGUGGUAGCAUCAGGUUUGAGUAAUAAUUUUAGGGUUAAAUUUAUAUCUUUUUGGAUAAGCAGUUGCCAACUUUUGUUUGUUUUAUUUUUUCAAUAAUUUUUUUUGAGGAAUUGGAUUGUGUUAGUGCCUUCUUAUGAACUCUAGUAGUGUGAUUGAUUAUGCCAAGGACGAGGGCUUCUCAUGCGUAAAAGAUUUGCAUCCCAAAUUUCUCGUUGUAGAUUCAAGCCAUGCCUGCCAAGAGCGAUGUAGUAGCAAAUGGGCUUAACAAAUUGGGAGAGGCUUCUCUUCAAUUGGAAAAACCAACCGGAAGGUGUUGUUGGGCCUCCAUGAGCUUACCACGGUACCGACAUCGAUGAUCCGAACCGUUCAUUAUAUAUUAGUUUAAUUGCUAAAAUGAAUGACUGAGAGUUGAAGUGAAAAGGGAGCUGCAGAUGAGCUUUACACUGAGAGUAUCAAGUUGUUAGGUGUAAUAACAAUUAGUAGUGAGUUAGGACUUGAGAUGCACAACAGUAACUGUUGUGUGGUUUUUUGAGCUCAUUUUA